CAUCAUCACCAUCAUCCUGAUUAGUCUUCGGGCAUUUGGUGCUGGAAGACAAAGAUCUUCCGGAUAAGUGCGAAAGUAAUCAGAAAGCCCUCGGAAGAUCUCUUCCGGGGGCUUUUUU
rnacentral:sRNA from 1 species